GCACCGGCACCGGGCGUCCCGGGCGUCCCGGGAACCGGGCAUCCCGGCACCGGCACCGGCACUGGGCGUCCCGGGCACCGGGCAUCCCGGCACUGGCACCGGCACCGGCACCGGGCGUCCCGGGCGUCCCGGGCACCGGGCAUCCCGGCACUGGCACCGGCACCGGGCGUCCCGGGCGUCCCGGGAACCGGGCAUCCCGGCACCGGCACCGGCACUGGGCGUCCCGGGCACCGGGCGUCCCGGCACCGGGCGUCCCGGGCACCGGGCAUCCAGCACCGGCACCGAGCGUCCCGAGUGUCCCAGGCACAGGGCAUCCCGGCACUGGCACCGGCACCGGGCGUCCCCGGCUCCGGCACCGGGCCUCUGGCACCGGGCAUCCCGGCACCGGGCGCCUCAGGCAUUCUGGGUGUCCCGGGAACCGGGCAUCCCGGCACCGGACAUCCCGGGCUUCAGCACCAGCACGGGGCAUCCCGGGCACUGGUCGUCCCGGGCAAUGGCACCGAGCAUCCCGGGCUCUGACACCGGGCAUCUGGCACCGGGCAUCCCAGGCACCAGCACCGGACAUCCCGGGCACUGGCACCGGUACUGGAUAUCCUAGGCACCAGCACCGGCACCGGGCAUCAUGGACACCGAGGAUCCCGGGCACUGGCACCAGCACCGGGCAUCCCAGGCACCGGCACUGGGGCUACCCAGGCACCAGCACCAGGGGUCCCGGGCACCGGUGCUGGCACUGGGGCUCCUGGGCUCUGGCUCCGGUGCUCCCUGGGCACCAGCAGCAGGGCUCCCAGGCACCAGCACGGGGGCUCCCCGGGUGCUGGCACUGGCUCCACCACCGGGGCUCCCCAGGCGUUGGCUCUGGCACCGGGGGCUCUCUGGGCACUGGCACCGGCACCAGGGCCUCCCUGGGCACUGGGGGCUCCUCAGACRCCAGCUUUGGGCACCAGCAUCAGGGUCUGCCAGGCACCAGCACUGGGGGUUCUUCAGGCAGCCACACUGGGGGGGUCCCCAGGCUCCGGCACCGGGGGCUCCUUGGGCAACAGCUCCAGGCACUGGCACCAGGGGCUCCCCUGGCAUCGGCACUGGCACUGGGGGCUCCCAAGCACCGGCAGUGGGUACUGGCACCGAGGCCUUCCCUGACAUCAGCUCUGGGGGCUUCUUGGGCACCAGCUCUGGGCACCGGCACCAGGGACUCCCAGGAUCUGGCCCUGGAGGAUCCCCAGGCACCAGCACCAGGGGCCUUUCCAGACACCAGCACCAGGUGCUCUCCUGGACACUGACACCAGCACUGGCACCAGGGGCUCCCCAGCCACCAGGACUGGGCACUGGCCCCAGGGCCUCCACCAGACACUGGCACCAGCACUGGGAGAUUCUUGAGCACCAGUACCAGGCACUGGCCUGGGAGAUCCCUGAGCACCAGCACCAGAGGCUCCCCAGACACCAGGCACUGGCACCAGGGGCUCCCCCACACUCUGGGCACUGGCACUGGGGGCUCCCCUGGACACCAGAAACCAGCACCAGCCCUGGGAGCUCUCCUGGACACCACACACUGGCACCAGCACUGGGAGCUCCUCCUGGACGUUUGCACCGGGCGCUUCCCCGGACACUGGCACCUGGGCCAGGCACCGGGCACCAGAAACCUGUACCAGCUGCUCCCACGGACACCAGCACCCAGGCAUCAGUCUUAUCAGAGGUGGCAAGACAUCCCRUUACUCCCCACUCGGGACACAGUGAGUGUGAAUAG
rnacentral:lncRNA from 1 species